ensembl:snRNA U6 U6 spliceosomal RNA
GUGCUUGCUUCGGCAGCACAUAUACUAAAAUUGGAACAAUACAAAGAAGAUUAGCAUGGCCCCUGCACAAGGAUGACACACAAAUUCAUGAAGCGUUCCAUAGUUUU